UAGGGAAUCUUCCACAAUGGACGCAAGUCUGAUGGAGCAACGCCGCGUGAGUGAAGAAGGCUUUCGGGUCGUAAAACUCUGUUAUUGAAGAAGAACGUGUGUGACAGUAACUGGUCAUGCAGUGACGGUAUUCAAUCAGAAAGUCACGGCUAACUACGUGCCAGCAGCCGCGGUAAUACGUAGGUGGCAAGCGUUGUCCGGACUUAUUGGGCGUAAAGCGAGUGCAGGCGGUCUUUUAAGUCUGAUGUGAAAGC
rnacentral:rRNA from 1 species